CACUUUGCAACCACUGAGGCAGAUAAUAAGGUUAAAUUCUCUUUACUUGUAAGAAUAAAUAUCAUUAUUUCCAGAUCAGCACUAUGUAAGGGAGGUUUUCUAAAAGGCAGGUGAAACAGCUACCAUCCACAAAGUGAUGCACAUUCUCAGGAUAACAUGGUAUUGGCAGGAUCAUGUUGCUGAGAUACACAGAAAGAGCAGCAGG